CAGCCGCCGCGGUAAUACGGAGGAUCCAAGCGUUAUCCGGAUUUAUUGGGUUUAAAGGGUGCGUAGGUGGCCUGUUAAGUCAGGGGUGAAAGACGGUAGCUUAACUAUCGCAGUGCCUUUGAUACUGACGGGCUUGAAUACACUAGAGGUAGGCGGAAUGUGACAAGUAGCGGUGAAAUGCAUAGAUAUGUCACAGAACACCAAUUGCGAAGGCAGCUUACUAUGGUUUUAUUGACACUGAGGCACGAAAGCGUGGGGAUCAAACAGGAUUAGAUACCCCUGUAGUCCCUGUCUCUUAUAC
rnacentral:rRNA from 1 species